ensembl:snRNA U1 U1 spliceosomal RNA
UCCGUUCCAGGGCACAGGGAGACACCGGGAUCAAGAAGGUGGUUUUCCCAGAGGGAGGUUUAUCCAUUGCAACCUGCAUGUGCUGACCCCUGUGAUUUCCCCAAAUGUGGGAAACUCAACUGCCUAAUUCGUGGUAGUCGGGGGGCUGCAUCCAUGCUUUCCCCUG